UUUGAAAAUUCAUAAUUUUAGAGAGAAGAAAUUCUAGAGAAAUAAAAAGAGAGAAUAAGAGAGGAGGUUCUGCUCUAAUUCCGGUCCCGAUUUAAGAAAAAGAGGAGGAGGUUCUGCCCAAGUUCCUAUUCAUCCAGGUGGAGAGGAUCCAACUGCAAGUGGUAUAUAGAAUGCCAUCCGUUAAUUUGGGAAAUGCUCUGAUAGUGUGACAUCGGGGCAAGAGGAUCUCUAGGAUAGAAUAUUUGGUAUUGUAAUAAAUGUUAUUUUCUUUGAAAAAUGUGUAAACUCUUGAAUUUUAUCUUUCAAGUUUUAUUUUUCAGUCAGAACA